rnacentral:rRNA from 1 species
AAUACGUAGGGACCGAGCGUUGUCCGGAAUUAUUGGGCGUAAAGGGCUCGUAGGCGGUUUGUCGCGUCGGGAGUGAAAACACUGGGCUUAACCCAGUGCUUGCUUUCGAUACGGGCAGACUAGAGGUAUGCAGGGGAGAACGGAAUUCCUGGUGUAGCGGUGAAAUGCGCAGAUAUCAGGAGGAACACCGGUGGCGAAGGCGGUUCUCUGGGCAUGUCCUGACGCUGAGGAGCGAAAGUGUGGGGAGCGAACAGGA